rnacentral:rRNA from 2 species
AGGAUACGGUUAACGGAGCGAAAGCGACGUUCAACCUCAAAAGAAGCAGAGGGGGCUUAGUGGUGGGGUGACUGCGUACCUUUUGUAUAAUGGGUCAGCGACUUAUAUUCUGUAGCAAGGUUAACCGAAUAGGGGAGCCGGAGGGAAACCGAGUCUUAACCGGGCGUUAAGUUGCAGGGUAUAGACCCGAAACCCGGUGAUCUAGCCAUGGGCAGGUUGAAGGUUGGGUAACACUAACUGGAGGACCGAACCGAC